UUGGUUAUUUUACCAAGGUUUUGACUGGAAUGGUGUGUUUUCCUUUAAGGAAUCAAACUUGACUUGUAGAGCCAAUAAGAGACCCUUCAGAAACUGGCCUCAUACCUUGCCUACACAGUCCCUGUAUGGGGUUUCUGACCUGUGAUACCACCUCUUGUUGAAACUCAAGAGUUGCAAAUGGCCCUCGCCAUACUCAUGCUUUCUGAAUGAGCUCCUCUCUACUCUGACUGCAAGAGACCCUCAUAAGUAGGUGGGAAUAUCAUCGCCCCUAUUCAGCCUGAAGAAGCUACAGAAGAUGGAUCUUUAUCCCUCUGCAACCCUUAGGAUUAAGACUCUCUUAUAAAAGAAAGGGGGGAAAUGUCAGAGGUAUGCGAACCAAAGCAACUCCAUCUUCAAUAGGAGCGGAGUAAAAUGAGGCUGAAACCUGGGCUGCACUCCCAGACAGUUAAGGC
rnacentral:lncRNA from 1 species